rnacentral:rRNA from 1 species
UACGUAGGUGGCAAGCGUUGUUCGGAAGUAUUGGGCGUAAAGAGCUCGUAGGUGGUUCGGUAAGUCGGGUGUGAAACCUCCAGGCUCAACCUGGAGACGCCACCCGAUACUGCUGUGACUGGAGUCCGGUAGGGGAGCGUGGAAUUCCUGGUGUAGCGGUGAAAUGCGCAGAUAUCAGGAGGAACACCGGUGGCGAAGGCGGGUCUCUGGGCCGAAAUUGACGCUGAGGAGCGAAAGCGUGGGGAGCAAACAGG